AGGACGAACGCUGGCGGUGUGCCUCAUACAUGCAAGUCGAACGAUAAGGUCUCUUCGGAGAUACAUAAGUGGCGGACGGGUGAGUACAACAUAGGAAAUCUGCCCUAAAGCGGGGGACAACAGAGGAAACUUCUGCUAAUACCCCAUAUGAGCUUAGUUGAAAUACUAAUCUUGAAAGAUUUAUCACUUUAGGAUGAGCCUGUGCCUGAUUAGCUGGUUGGUGGUGUAAUGGACUACCAAGGCGACGAUCAGUAGCUGGUUUGAGAGGAUGAUCAGCCACAAUGGGACUGAGACACGGCCCAUACUCCUACGGGAGGCAGCAGUAGGGAAUUUUGCGCAAUGGGCGAAAGCCUGAACCGCAGCAACACCGCGUGAAUGUUAAGCCCUUCGGGGUGUAAAGUUCUGUCAGUAGGGAAGAACAAAUGACCGUACCUGCAAAGGAAGCACCGGCUAACUCCGUGCCAGCCGCUGC
rnacentral:rRNA from 1 species